rnacentral:lncRNA from 1 species
CCAGCAUAGCUUGAAAGCAGAUCAAUAUCUGAAGCAACAAAGAACCCAACUGAGAACAAAGACUUAGAAAGACACGCAAGUGAUUUCCCAGGGCUCCAGGUGGCUGCAGGAGGGCCUUUAGUGCUGACAUGCCACAACUCCCUGGACUCAGCAGUGAAGAUGUUCAAGCCCAGUGCAACAGGACCAUAAGAAAGACAUUGAGACCCCUCACUACAAGAAAGACAGUGAAGCCCUAGAAUGUGAUCAGAGAAGGGCAUCAAAGCUGGUGAGGAGUCUGGAGCACAAGUCUUAUGGGAAGCAGCUGAGAGAACUGAGGUUGUUCAGUCUGAAGAAGAGGAGGAUCAGGGGAGACCUUAUCACUGUCUACAACCAUCUGAAAGGAGGUUACGCAUGAACUACAGAGAACCCUGCCUAGCAGGUAACCUCACACGAGGAGUACACCUAAAUACUGGAAACCCCCCAGGAAUUUUGUGGCCAUCUAUCAGCACUGACACAUAGAAACUGAGGAUCUGGAGCACACCUGCAGCCACCUGGAAGCCAGACUGUGAGAAAAGAGGCUCCUGAAGGAAUAUUGGCAGCUGCUCCUGGACAGUGCUACACUGAAAAUGUUGCUGUGAUGAGAAAAUUGGAGGCCAGAAUGAGGAUGUGAAAUAAUGUUGAUCUCCGGCAGUUACAAACUGAAAAGGAGGAGCUUGAAGAAAAACAUCAGGGGACCAAAUGCUGGG